AUACGGAGGGUGCAAGCGUUGUUCGGAAUUACUGGGCGUAAAGGGUGCGUAGGCUGCACUAUAAGCAAAGGGUGAAAUCCCGGGGCUCAACCUCGGAACCGCUUUUUGAACUGUAGUGCUUGAGACAGACAGAGGCAGGUAGAAUUCCUGGUGUAGAGGUGAAAUUCGUAGAUAUCAGGAGGAAUACCGGUGGCGAAGGCGGCCUGCUGGGUCUGUUCUGACGCUAAGGCACGAAAGCGUGGGUAGCAAACGGGAUUAGAAACCCCGGUAGUCC
rnacentral:rRNA from 1 species